UCAAACGCGGRRRKKURGCUUGGUACAUUACCUAGCGGCGGACGGGUGAGUAAUGCUUAGGAAUCUGCCUAUAGUGGGGGACAACAUUCCGAAAGGAAUGCUAAUACCGCAUACGCCCUACGGGGGAAAGCAGGGGAUCUUCGGACCUUGCGCUAAUAGAUGAGCCUAAGUCAGAUUAGCUAGUUGGUGGGGUAAAGGCCUACCAAGGCGACGAUCUGUAGCGGGUCUGAGAGGAUGAAUCCGCCACACUGGGACUGAGACACGGCCCAGACUCCUACGGGAGGCAGCAGUGGGGAAUAUUGGACAAUGGGGGCAAGCCUGAUCCAGCCAUGCCGCGUGUUGAACAAGGCCUCUUGGUUGUAAAGCACUUUAAGCGAGGAGGAGGCUACCUUGGAUUAAUACUYCUAGGAUAGUGGACGUUACUCGCAGAAUAAGCACCGGCUAACUCUGUGCCAGCAGCCGCGCCUAAUACAGAGGGUGCGAGCGUUAAUCGGAUUUACUGGGCGUAAAGCGUGCGUAGGCGGCUUUUUAAGUCGGAUGUGAAAUCCCUGAGCUUAACUUAGGAAUUGCAUUCGAUACUGGGAAGCUAGAGUAUGGGAGAGGAUGGUAGAAUUCCAGGUGUAGCGGUGAAAUGCGUAGAGAUCUGGAUGAAUACCGAUGGCAAACGCAGCCACCUGGCCUAAUACUGCACUCUGAGGUACGAAAGCAUGGGGAGCAAACAGGAUUAGAUACCCUGGUAGUCCAUGCCGUAUACGAUGUC
rnacentral:rRNA from 1 species